AUGAGGGCCCCUGUGCAGCUCCUCAGCUUCCUGCUGCUCUGGUUCCCAGGUUCCCGGUGUGAUAUCCAGAUGACUUCAUCCCUGUCUGCAUCUCUGGGAGAGAAAGUCACCAUCACCUGCAAUGCCAGUUCAGACAUUAGCAAUCAUUUAGCCUGGUAUCAGCAGAAACCAGGAAAAGCUCCUAGGUUCCUCAUCUAUUAUGCAUCCAAUUUACUACCAGAUGUCCCUUCCUGGUUCAGCGGCAGUGGAUCUGGGACAGAUUACACUCUCACCAUCAGCAGCCUGAAGCCUGAGGAUGCUGCCACUUAUUACUGUCAACAAGCUUGGAAUAACCCUCCACAGUGA